rnacentral:rRNA from 1 species
GACGAACGCUGGCGGCGUGCCUAAUACAUGCAAGUAGAACGCUGAAGAGAGGAGCUUGCUCUUCUUGGCUGAGUUGCGAACGGGUGAGUAACGCGUAGGUAACCUGCCUUGUAGCGGGGGAUAACUAUUGGAAACGAUAGCUAAUACCGCAUAACAAUGGAUGACACAUGUCAUUUAUUUGAAAGGGGCAAUUGCUCCACUACAAGAUGGACCUGCGUUGUAUUAGCUAGUAGGUGAGGUAAUGGCUCACCUAGGCGACGAUACAUAGCCGACCUGAGAGGGUGAUCGGCCACACUGGGACUGAGACACGGCCCAGACGCCUACGGGAGGCAGCAGUAGGGAAUCUUCGGCAAUGGGGGCAACCCUGACCGAGCAACGCCGCGUGAGUGAAGAAGGUUGUCGGAUCGUAAAGCUCUGUUGUAAGUCAAGAACGGGUGUGAGAGUGGAAAGUUCACACUGUGACGGUAGCUUACCAGAAAGGGACGGCUAACUACGUG